rnacentral:tRNA from 1 species
GGAGUUGUGGCUCAGUGGUAGAGCACUCGCCUCGCACGUUCGAGGCUCUGGGUUUGAUCCUCAGCAUCCCA